ACUUCCUGGAGGCAGCAGUGGGGAAUAUUGCGCAAUGGGCGAAAGCCUGACGCAGCGACGCCGCGUGAGGGAUGAAGGUUUUCGGAUCGUAAACCUCUGUCAGAAGGGAAGAAAGUGCGUGGUGCUAAUCAGCCGCGUAUUGACGGUACCUUCAAAGGAAGCACCGGCUAACUCCGUGCCAGCAGCCGCGGUAAUACGGAGGGUGCGAGCGUUAAUCGGAAUUACUGGGCGUAUAGCGCACGUAGGCUGUUGUGUAAGUCAGGGGUGAACUUCCACGGCUCCACCGUGGAACUGCACUUGAUACU
rnacentral:rRNA from 1 species